AUUCAGUACCAUUUGCCGCCUUUUCCCCCCAUCUCAGUGCCCCACUCGCCCUCCCCCGCUUCCGGCCACCAUCCCCCUUUCCCGGCACCACCGUAAAAGUUGUUGCUCAUCAGUUCAGAAUACGAGCUGGAGCUCAUCUGACGGCGAGGUUAAGCUAGGAGGACCGUGGAUGAGCUCGAGCUUAAGAGUCAGGUUUGGGCCUUGAGAAACAAGCUUGUUGAGUUUCAACCCUGAAAUUUUGUCGAGAUGAAAAUAGCUGUUGAAGGAUGCAUGCAUGGAGAUUUGGACAAUGUAUAUGCUACUCUGAUACACCUGCAAGAAGUUGAGAAAAUCAAGAUUGAUCUUCUAAUUUGCUGCGGGGACUUUCAGGCUGUUCGAAAUGAGAAAGAUCUACAAAGUUUAAAUGUGCCUUCCAAGUAUAGGAGCAUGAAUUCCUUUUGGAAGUAUUACUCAGGGGAGAAAGCUGCACCAUGUCCAACUAUAUUCAUUGGCGGAAAUCAUGAAGCGUCCAACUAUCUUUGGGAAUUAUACUAUGGGGGUUGGGCUGCACCACAGAUCUUCUUUCUUGGAUUUGCAGGAGUCGUCAAAUUUGGAAAUGUUCGUAUUGGUGGACUUUCUGGAAUCUAUAAAGCACAUCAUUAUUAUUCAGGACACUAUGAGAAGAUGCCCUACAAUGAACAGGACAUUCGGUCUAUAUAUCAUGUUCGUGAGUACGAUGUUCAUAAACUCAUGCAAGUUCAGGAACCAAUUGAUAUCUUUCUUUCCCAUGAUUGGCCUCUUGGCAUUACAGACCAUGGGAACUUGAAAGGUCUCCUUCACAAAAAACCUUUUUUUGAACAAGAGAUUCUGGAAGGAACAUUGGGAAGUCGAGCUGCUGCAGAUUUGAUGGCUAAGUUGAGGCCAUCUUACUGGUUUUCUGCGCAUUUACACUGCAAAUUUUCUGCUCUUGUUCAACAUGGAGAAAAUGGUCCUGUUACAAAAUUUCUUGCUCUUGAUAAGUGCCUUCCCGGACGGAAAUUUUUGCAAAUUCUUGAAAUUGAAUCAGAGGUAGGACCUUAUGAUCUUCACUAUGAUGAAGAAUGGCUUGCCAUCACAAAGAAGUUCAACCCAAUUUUCCCGCGGACUAGAAUGCGUGCAAUUUUUAGUGAUGCUAAGCUCGACAUAGAAGAGUGCCGCCAAUUUGUAAGGAAUAAGCUACAAAUGCGAGGCAGCAAACCUUUCGGAUUUGUCCGCACUGCACCAUGCCAUAAUCCUUCUCAAUCUGUUGCCAACAAUUUUCCUUCUGGACAUUGUCGGAAUCCUCAAACAGAAGCUCUUUUGCAGUUACUAGAACUUCAAUACUGUCUUGAUACGUCUGCUGAACUUGAGGAACCAUCUCAAAGUCCCGGAUCACUUCUCUCCAGAGGAUCUUUCGAUUAUGAUAAGGAGGAUAUUCCAAUUGAGGAUGUAGAGGAUGUUGACGAACUCAAGGAAACCGAUGAUGCAGAAACCUAGAGAGAAUCUGUAAAGCCUCCGUCCAGUAUACAUGUGGCUUGGCAUGUCUAUUCAUGCCAUUGAAGAGGCUGGGCCAGCCGAUAGAUUAUGUCAAUUGUGGUUUAAUGGAGAAGGGUACAUCUUUCACACCUCGUUCAUAUUUCAGGAUCAUUGUGCCACCACCUCCUUUUUGUUACUUUGUGUAAUGCCUACAUUUAGUUUGUAAAUAGUUUUAUUAGUGCACAUUAACGUUAAAAAUAUUUAGUAGUUCUGAUAAGUUAUUCUUUUUAUUUUCUUUUUUUUUAAAUUAAAAAAAUUAGAUUAUAUACACACAUCCAGUGUGUUCCAUCGGCUUGUACUAAUUAUUAAAGGUGAGAGCCCUAAAAUCUUUUAAACAGA